rnacentral:lncRNA from 1 species
CAUUGAAGAAAUUUAAGUUCGUGUGGUUUUACCUUUUCCGGGAGUCUCCAGCUGGCCCUCAUUUGUGUCCGGAGCUCAGGAGUUCCCAAACCGACUCAGUCGCACCAAGUUUCCGUCUUUUGGAAUUGGGGAAGGAGUUUCUUUCUUUCUUUUCUUUUUUCUUGAGCCAGUUUUAAUCGCUUUGAAUAAAUACUCCCUUAAGUAGUUAAAUAUAGGAGGAGAAAGAAUACAUCGGUUGUUAAAGCAGGAGAGGAAGAGAGACCUGCCCUGUAGCGUGACUCCUCUAGAAAAAAAAAAAAAAAGCCGGAGUAUUUUACUAAGCCCCUAAAAUGUCGAGAUUUGUACAAGGUACCUGUGCGUGCACGCAGACGGGAAGGGCUGGGGAAGCGGGAGGACUGAGAAAAGCCGGAUCUUAGCAAAGCAAUGUCUCAAGAUGGUGCUUCUCAGUUCCAAGAAGUCAUUCGGCAAGAGCUAGAAUUAUCUGUGAAGAAGGAACUAGAAAAAAUACUCACCACAGCAUCAUCACAUGAAUUUGAGACACCGGGUUUUGCCAUAUUGCCGAGGCUGGUCUCAAACUCCUGAGCUCAAACGAUCAGCUGGCCUGAG